rnacentral:rRNA from 1 species
UACGUAGGGGGCAAGCGUUAUCCGGAAUUACUGGGCGUAAAGCGCACGCAGGCGGUUCGCCAAGUUUUGGAGUGACAGUUGUCGGCUCAACCGACAAAGGACUUCAAAAACUGGUGAACUUGAGGACGAGAGAGGAACAUGGAACUCCAGGUGUAGUAGUGAAAUGCGUAGAUAUCUGGAGGAACACCGAUGGCGAAGGCAGGUCUCUGGGCAUUAACUGACGCUGAGGAGCGAAAGCAUGGGGAGCGAACAGG